UGUAUACUCCCUCCGUCCCAAAAUUCUUGUUGUAGAUUUGUCUAGAAAUGAAUGUAUCUAAAUACUAAAACGUGACUAUAUACAUUCAUAUCUAGACAAACCUAAGACAAGAAUUUUAAAAUGGAGGGAGUAUAUC
rfam:Hordeum vulgare subsp. vulgare, WGS project CAJW01000000 data, contig: morex_contig_2556921